GGGGGUGUAGCUUAGCUGGUAGAGCGCUUCCUUCGCAAGGAAGAGGCCGGCGGUUCGAAUCCGCCCAUCUCCA
rnacentral:tRNA from 1 species